rnacentral:rRNA from 1 species
AUGGAGGCAACUGCGCUGAGCAUCGGCAAGUCCGCGCUGAGCGGAGCGCUCAGCUACGCCAAAUCCGCAGUUGCGGAGGAGGUGGCCCUGCAGCUCGGAGUACAGCGCGACAAGGCCUUCGUCACCGACGAGCUGGAGAUGAUGCAGUCUUUCUUGAUGGUGGCGCAUGAUGAGCAAGGCGAGCACAACAAGGUGGUCAGGACCUGGGUGAAGCAGGUCCGUGACGUCGCCUACGACGUCGAAGAUGGCCUCCAGGACUUCUUUGUCCGUGUUCAUCGGAAAUCCUGGUGGCGCAUCCCUCGCACGCUCCUUAAUCGGCGCCAUGUCGCCAAGCAGAUGAAGGAGCUGCGUGCCAAGGUGGAGGACGUGAGCCAGAGGAACGUGCGGUACCGCCUCAUCGACCGUGGAUCAAAACCCGCUAAUUCUUCUGACCUCACAACAACCGCUGCUGCCAUGUUCGGAGUUGAUGAAGCAACAAGGCAUGGUACAGAUCAGCACCAAUCAGGAUCAAGGUUGGAUCUUGCCCAGCUGAUCCUCAGCGACAAGAAAGACUUGGGAUCAGACCAAAUUGGAGUGAUCGGAGUGUGGGGAACGAGUGGCAUAGUUGGGCAUUCCUCCAUCAUCUUGGGUGCCUACGAGAAUCCAAGCGUCAAACUCAACUUCCCAUGCCGAGCGUGGCUUAGGGUGACGCGCCCUUUCCACCGGAAAGAAUUUGUCCAGAGUAUAGUGGAACAGUUUCGCGUGAGCACCAUAGGGGUGGUCGAUUUUCUGCUGGAGCCAGAGGGGGAGAAGACGAGCCAUGAGUUGUCACGUGAGUACAAUGGAUAUGUCAGCAAGAAGAGGUACCUGAUUGUGCUUACUGAACUAUCGACCCUUGAAGAAUGGCACCAGAUCAAAACCUGCUUCCCAGAAAACAAACUGGGGAGUCGGAUCAUAGUAUCCUCGGAGCAUGUUGAAGUUGCAAGCCUAUGCUCAGGCCAAGAAAGUAUUGCAUCUGAGCUCAAGCAGUUGUCUUCUUCACAAACCAUCUAUGCUUUCUACCAGCAGAAUUCUCAAGACGAUACAUAUUCAUCGAAGCCAACGUCUAGCUCAAAGCUACACUAUAUUGAUGAAAACGAGAUACAAGAAGUCCAAUGUAAUGUUGAUGUUGAUAGAAAGAUGGUAGUGCAAGAGAGACUUGCACGCACCAACACGAUGGCGGGUGUUCUCGAGGAAUUUCAGCUUAUUGGGCGUGAGAAAGAAAAAUUAGAUAUUAUUAAGCUAAUUGGAGAACAAGCUAGCACCCAACAAUUUCAGGUGAUUGGUGUGUGGGGGAUGGGUGGUCUUGGAAAAACCACUCUGAUCAAAGAUAUUUACCAGAAUCAUGGGGUCACUGGCAUGUUUGAGAGACAUGCUUUUGUCACAGUCUUGCGGCCUUUUAAGCUUCACAGCUUAAUAUAUCAACUAGUUGCAACGAAGAGUAUCCAAGACUUUGCAGGGGAUACCAAAAAAGAUAUUGCUUCCAUGGGAGUUGAAGAGUUGAAUGGAGUUUUGGGUAUGCUUUCGGAAGGAAAGAAAUGCUUGAUUGUUCUUGAUGACUUCUCUUCUACCACAGAAUGGGAUAAAAUGGUGCCUAGUUUACUUUCCAUGAAUGUCAUUGUGAUCACAACAAGGCGUGAGGAUAUUGCUAAACAUUGUUGUAAGAAACUAGAGUGCAUGCAGAGGCCAGCACAAUCACCAUCUUUUUCGGAGAGUAAACAAAAGGAGUGCAUAUACUUGCCUAGUGGUCUACGAGAUGAGGAUGCAUGUGACGUCUUCAUUAAAAAGGUAUUUAAGGAUAAAACCACAAAUUUGGCUAAGCAUUAUCCAGAGUUGGUUGAACCAGCGAAUAUGAUCCUUAAGAAGUGUAAUGGACUUCCUCUUGCGAUAGUAAGCAUAGGUGGCUUCUUGGCAGACCAACCAACAAAAACUGUUGUGGAGUGGAGGAAACUGAAUGAGCGUAUGAGCGCUGAGCUGGAGAUGAAUCCAAAGUUUGAGACCAUUUACACUGUGCUCAUGCAAAGUUAUGAUGGUCUCCCAUAUUACCUCAAGUCUUGUUUUCUGUACAUCUCCAUCUUUCCUGAAGAUCACAAUGUUAGCCGGAGACGUUUGGUGGAACGAUGGAUUGCGGAGGGCUACUCGAAGGACAUAUCCGUAGCGGACAAAUACUUCGUGGAACUCAUAGAGAGAAGCAUGAUAUUACCAACUCAGCAAUCAGUUUGUAGCAUACAAGGAUUUGACUCCUGCCAGCUACAUGAUCUCAUCCGUGAUAUCAGCAUUGCAAAGUCAAUGGAGGAAAAUCUCGUGUUCAGGUUGGAGGAAGGGUGUAGUUCUAACACUCAUGGUGCAUUUCGUCACCUUGCGAUAAGCAGCAAUUGGGAGGGAGAUGAGCGUGAGUUGGAGAGCACAGUGGAGCUGUCCCGUAUAAGGUCAGUGACAGUGUUUGGCAAGUGGAUGCCAUUUUACAUUUCUGAAAAGAUGAGGUUUCUUCGGGUGCUAGACCUAGAAGAUACUGAAGGUCUAGCUGAUCGUCACCUUGAGCACAUCGGGAAGCAUCUUCAUCUGAGAUACCUUUCUCUAAGAGGGUGUCACAACAUCUCUUACCUCCCGGAUUCAAUGGGUAACCUGAGACAGCUCGAGACACUAGACAUCAGAGGUACACGUAUAUUGAUACUUCCGAAAACUAUCACCAAUCUUAGCAAGCUGCAUUUUCUGCAUGCCUCGAACAUUUCACAAGAUCCAGUCGAUUGGCCAGCACUACCAUGUGUACCUUACCGAAUGCAUGUCAAUUGUCAUCGUGGUGCAUGUGCUCCUUUCUCUUGCUACGUCAUUGACGAGGUACAUUCUUUUGCUGUGAAUGUGCCAAGAGGGAUCGGGAAAUUGAAAACCCUGCACACGCUGGAUCGUGUGCACCUUGCAUGGGGAAAUGAGAUAAAAGGUCUCACUAGCCUGCGCAAGUUAGGAGUAGUGCUUGGCAUCAACACAAAAAUUGGGCUGGAUGUUUGUUCAGCCAUUUCUGCUCUCAGCCGCCUUGAGUCCUUGUCAGUAGAGUCACAAGAAGGAAAUUUAUAUGACCACUUGCAUGGCAUGUCAUCCCCUCUGGAAAACCUCCAGAGCCUCAAGUUGUCCGGCUACCUGAAAAAAAUGCCGGAAUGGAUCCAGAGGCUCCAGAAUCUCACGAAGCUUGAUCUAACACUUACCAAGUUAUCGGGAGACGGUGAAACCAUACAAGUCCUUGGGAACCUACCAAACCUAUCUAUUCUGCAUAUCAUGGAGGAAUCGUGUCAAACCAAUGGACCUAUCACUUUCCAUGGUGGACUUUUCAGAAGCCUCGAGGUCCUUGAGCUUUCUUAUCUGAUCAUGGAAAUCUCACUGGAGUUUGAGGCAACAUCAAUGCCAAAACUUGAGGUGCUGAGUCUGUAUCUUCUAGAAUCUACAGCUGACUUAUCUGGGCUGAAAUUUCUCCCAAGCAUCAAGGAAGUGCGGCUCUCUGUGAAUGUUCUUUUUUAUGAAAAUAUGACGAAAGAAGAGGUAGAAAAGGAAGCAAAACGCAGAGAAGACAAAGCCAAGGAAGACAUUACGAAGCAGCUUGCUGCCAAUCAAAAUGGAAACAGACCAAUUUUGAAGGUGGACUGA